GCACAACCCAGGAAUGGCCCUAGGAGCCACCCCUCCAGCUCUGUCCCUGUGGCACCUCUGGGCCGCCCAGCUUGGAACCAUGAGCCCCUCUAGCUGGGCAGCAGGGCCCAGGAGGCCAUCAGUCCAGAAGGGAGUCCUGGGGGAAGAGGCGGUUCUGAGUCUGGCAGGGAGGAGGGUGACCUCCUCACUGGAGGAGGCAUGUGGCUGGUGGGCCUUCCUGAGCCUCAGUUUCCUCAUCUGUGCAGGGGGACUAAAAGUGCUCCCACCUUCUUUGGACAAUGGGGGUUAUGGGAGAGGGGAUGUGGACCUGGGGGAGUCUGUUCAGGCUGAGAGGGGGUGGGGAUGGGGGGAAGGGGCAUGGUUUCCACCAGGGGACCCUGGUGGCACAGAGUGAGCUGAAACCUGGACCCUGGACUCCUAGAGUCCUGCCCAACGCUCUUCCUGAGUCUCUUCACCUCUCCUCCCCUCUGCUCCCACUCUUCCCCAGGCCCUGCCUGCAGGUGCCCCUCUUGGCCCCUUACUUGGUUGUCCUGGAAGUUCUGCUGCAGAGGGACCUUGCUCAGAGGUGGAGUCCUGGGCCUGGGCAUGCAGAGCCCCCAACAGGGCUAGGCCCAGCCACAGGAGACCUAGGGGCAUGAUUUCAGGGCCGAGGAAGCAGGCGCUGU
rnacentral:lncRNA from 1 species